CCCCGGCGCGGCCCCUCCGUGCUCCCCCCGCUGCCCCGCGCGGGGGUUCCGCCGCCCGCCAGGCCCUGGGCGCAGGAUUCCCAAGAGGAAUCAGUAAAUCCCGGGAUUUUUGCCUCUGGAAGCUCGAGAUGCGUUAGAAUUCCAAGAAUUCCCAGAAUUCCCUUUCCCUAAGGAAUGCAGCACCAUGCGCUGCCUGGCCCUGUCACCCUGACCAUUCCCAUCAGGACCACCCCCAAUCUCUGUCCUGAUCCCGUUUUUCCCGUUGUUUUUCCCAGGAAAUGCAGCACCAUGAGUGCCAUUCCCAUCAGGGCCACCCCCAAUCCC